GACGAACGCUGGCGGCGUGCUUAACACAUGCAAGUCGAACGGAAGGGCCCUGCUUUUGUGGGGUGCUCGAGUGGCGAACGGGUGAGUAACACGUGAGUAACCUGCCCUUGACUUUGGGAUAACUUCAGGAAACUGGUGCUAAUACCGGAGAGGAGCUCCUGCUGCAUGGUGGGGGUUGGAAAGUUUCGGCGGUUGGGGAUGGACGUGCGGCUUAUCAGCUUGUUGGUGGGGUAGUGGCUUACCAAGGAUUUGACGGGUAGCCGGCCUGGGAGGGUGACCGGCCACAUUGGGACAGGGAAACGGCCCAGACGCAUACGGGAGGCAGGAGUGGGGAAUAGUGCACAAUGGGCGGAAGGCUGAUGCAGGAACUCCGGGUGCGGGAUGACGGCAUUCGGGUGGGAAACGGCUUUAGCCUGUGACGAAGCGUGAGUGACGGUAAUGGGGAAAGAAGCACCGGCUAACUACGU
rnacentral:rRNA from 1 species